rnacentral:lncRNA from 1 species
GGGUGAGGGGCUGCUGGCGUGGAGGCAGCUGCCUGCUCAGCCCAGCCCAGCUGCAUUUUCUCCUCUUUCACCCUGGUGAGAACCAGCCUUCCUUCGGUUCUGCCUGAGGACCCUGUAGGUGCUGAAAAUGGAAUACAGCUGGCAGGUAGUGGGCGGACAGUGAAAACGUGCCCUGAUAUUAUUCUGAGAAAAAAAAAGAGCUUUAUUGCUUCUUGUCAGACUAUACUAUGUUUUAGGAAGAGUUGGGUUCCCCCAAAGAGAAGGUGCAGGGUGCUGGGAGCAGGAUCCUCAGUUUGUAAGAACGCACUCACUGCUCCAAGGCAGCCAACAAAAAAUUUUUAAAAAGGGUGAUUGAAGGUUCAACUUUUGACAUGUAAAAUCCAGUCAUAGCUUGGGUUUCCCGGAAGCAGUCCCUGAGACAGAGAUUUUAGUGCAACAGUUUAUUUGGGAGGCGAUCCUGGGAAACACCAGAAGGGAAGUGGAAAAUUGAAAUGUCGAAGGAAGCCAAUAAAAUAUGCGUUAUUGAGCAGAUGGCCCCUGUGACCAACUAGGCUCAGUAUCUCUGGGGAACCCCCAGAGACAGUGUAGAGUAAAUUCCAGAAUUAUGCCAUCCAAGGGAAAAGGGAGCUGAAUCAUUCAUCUCUCAGCUGUUGCAAGCUAUUGGUGGAGGGAUUUUCCCAAGAGGCAUUACCUCCCAGGCUUGUCCUCACUUUGCCUGUGUGGCCUCCAGUGGUCAGACAGAACCCAAAGGAAAAGAGCCAGGGUGCGGAUUGGCAGAAGCUAUUCUGGCCCAUGUGCAGAGCAUCAAGAAUGUGUGCUGCAAAAGAGUCUCUCUCUGUCACCCAGGCUGGAGUGCAGUGGCGCCAUCUCGGCUCACUGCAAGCUCCGCCUCCCGGGUUCAUGCCAUUCUCCUGCCUCAGCCUCCCGAGUAGCUGGGACUACAGGCGUCCGCCACCACGCCCAGGGAGAAGAGAAAAAAGUGCAUGAAGUAAAGAAAAAGCAGGGAAUGAGAGAAAAAAAUGGAGGAGUGAGUGCCACAGCCCAGUCAGUAAGUGCUACAUGGAGUCUCACUCUGUCGCCAGGCUGGAGUGCAGUCAGCUCACUGCAACCUCCACCUCCCGGGUUCAAGAGAUUCUCCUGCCUCAGACUCCUGAGUAGCUGGGACUACAGAUAUUUAGAAAUUAUUACAGGAACUUUUUCUGGACAGACAAGAACCUAAGUCUGAACAUCUAAAAGGCUCACAAAGAAUCAAGCAAAUUUAUUGAAAGAGACCAAUACUUAUUAGACCUAUCUUCGUGAACUGAAGAUCGAGAAAAAAAUUCCAAGAGGCAUUUGGACAGAAAAGCAUGUUGACUCCACAGGAACAAAAAUCAAACUGCAUUCAAAAUUCUCCUCUGCAAUGUCUAAUAGCAGGAGAAAUAAAAUAGUACCAACAGAGCUUCAAGGGAAAAAGACUGCAUUCUAAGAAUCCUAUAUUUAGGAAGUUGUUCAAGUGAAAGGGUAAUGGAAGAAAUGUUCUUAGAUGUGCAACUCACUGUUAUAACCUUUUAAACAAAGCCCUCGAAGACCUGAUUUAACUGACAGUGAAUGAAUCUAAAUACAGAGCUGUGGGAUGUGAGAGUCACAUCAGUGACCACUGAAACAAGUAUAAAGAAAAUUAAGUCUAGAUGAUUGUUUUACAUAUAAUUAUAAAACAGAAUAAAAGUGUAAAACGCAACUCUUGGAAGAGGAUAUUUAUAGUAUAAAAAUGGCCUAAUUAUAAUAAUUUGAACCUAAUGUUUUGCCGCACAAAAAUAGAAAUGAAGGAGAUAGAAUGGUAGGAGAAAACACUUAUUUCCUCAUUAUUCCCAAGAGGGAUAUUAUUUAACUCUUGAUAAAGAUAACUGGAAAUACAAACAGGAUGUAUCCUUUCUAAAUUACUAAAAAAAAAAAAAAACAAAAAAAACAAAGAAAAUAAAUUCCAUGUAACAAUCAUACUUUAUGUAACACACUGAAGUUUUUGGUCUUUAAUCUUCUUAUCUCCAGAGAUUGCUGUGACUCCUCGUCCACUCUGUAUCAUAGCAUCACCUCCAGUAUCAUUAAUGCAAGGCACCCCAUUUCUGACCACAGCUUCCUUCUUUUCCUUCUUGGCUUUAUUUUUAUUUCUUUAUUUAUUUUUGAGACGGAGCCUCGCUCUGUUGGCCCAGGUUAGAGUGCAGUGCCAUGAUCUCAGCUCACUGAAACCUCCACCUCUCAGGUUCAAGCAAUUCUCCAGCCUCAGCCUCCUGAAUAGCUAGGAUUACAGGCACCUGCCACCAUGCCUGGCUAAUUUUAGUAUUUUUAGUAGAGACAGGGUUUUGCCACGUUGGCCAGGUUGGUCUUGAACUCCUGACCUCAGAUGACCUGCCUGCCUUAGCCUCCCAAAGUGCUGGGAUUACAGACAUGAGCCACUGAGCCUGGCCACGUUCUUGGCUUUUUAAUUGCAACCAUUGAAAUAGAUCUUGAUUUCACUGUGACCUCUAGCUUCUUUAUCUUCAAUUUGCCCCAUCCUUCAGCCGUCCCCUUUCUUUAGUUUUCUACCUGUCCAGGUUAGAUUUCAGGGUCCAUUGUUUCAGCGAUAGUACUGCCAAAAUCCUAAACUCCCUCGCCCCUUUGGGCUUUUGUCAGACCCCAUCUGGCCGAAGACCAUUCCCAGAGCAACCCACACUGUGUGCUGUCUCUCUUCUUGUAUUUAAGCAGCUGGAGAAAAACACAACAGAGCAGAUUGUACCAUCAUAUAUUCAUGAGCAUCCAUUCUGAAUGGGCACCACAGUGCCAGAAUCCUUCAGAUAUCUCUGGUCAAUCUAUAGUCCAGCAAUCCACAAUGACCAUUCCAGAUCUUCUCUAGCUUCCUUAAAUGCCCAACUUUCCUACCCAUCAACGGAUGCCUUUAUUUCAUAUUUCACAGAGAUAAUAGACACUGUCACAUAAGGCCACUCCCCCCACUCCACACCCCCAAAUCCUGCUACCAAACUCACUAACAUAACAGCAUCUGUACCCAUCUGGUCCUCCUUCCUGCCUAUUCCAUAGAGGAGCUGUUUUUCUUUCUGAAAGAGAUCAAUUCCUCACAUGUGCUUUAGACCCCAUCUCCUUUCUCCUUCGCAGGAAUCUUAUAAUUUAGGUGGUUCUGUAUCUCCUGAAUAUCCAAUCUCUUUUCAACCUCAUCAAUUGCUUCAAAUUGUAAACAUUAAGCAAAUUAUAUUCAGCUUUCAAAAAAAAAGGGAGGAAAUCCUGUCAUUUGGGACAACAUGGAUGAAACUAGAGGACGUUAUGGAAAAUGAAAUAAAGCAGACAUGGAAAGAAAAAUACUACAUGAUCUGACUUACAUGUGGAGUGUGAAAAAGAACUCAGAAGCAGGAAGUAGAAUGGUGGUUACCAGGGGUCUUAAGGGGUUGGAGGGUUGGGAAGAUGUUGGUCAAAGGACACAACAUUUCAGGAGGAAUAAGUUCAAGAGAGCUAUUGUUUCACACGGGAACUAUGGUUAAUAACAAUGUAUUGCAUUCUUGGAAAUUGCCAAGAGAGUAGAUUUUAAGCGUUCUCACAACAAAAAUGAUUAGUAUGUGAGGUAAUGCAUAUGUUACUCAGCUUAAUGUAGCCAUUCCACAGUAUGUACAAGUUUCAAAGCAACAUGUUGUAUAUAAUAAAUACAUAUAACUUUGGCAAUCAAAUCAAAUAAAUAAAAGAAAAUAAAAAUAAAUGGAGAGAUAUUAUAAAAAUUCUACUGCAUUAAUAGUCACUAAUUCCAGUGCUUUGUAUUCCUUUGUGGAAAGGUUUUCCAAUCGUGUGGCACUAUUGACUUUUUUUUUUUUUUUGGUGACGGAGUCUCGCUCUGUCACUCAGGCUGGAGUGCCGUAGCAUGAUCUCAGCUCAUUGCCAUCUCUGCCUCCCCGGGUUCAAGCCAUUCUCCUGUGUCAGCCUCCUGAG